AUCAGUGGAUGCCUUUGCCGUCCGUAGCCUGAGAUUUCAGAUUUGCAGCAAAAAAUUUGAUUUUCUCAUUUAUUGGAAUGCUGUGCAGGUUGUACCUUGCAGCCAUCCAUUACAAUGUCACCAAGGUGUAACAAAAGCAGGAGAGGGAAAGUACAAGGCUAUGUUCCCAAAACACACAAGUGACAUACCUUAUGUGGAUGAUGUGAUCAGGCUUGUGUUUGAUGAGGUAUUUGAAGAUAAGCUGAAGGAAACCCCGAUUCCAAUGGACCUGGCAUCACAGUUUGAGACACCUUUAAAGAAGGACGUGAUUGCAUGCCAUCUUCAGUGCAGGGGUCGUUGAAAGCCAACAUUGUGACCGAUCUGAUCAGGAAGCUCCAAGCAUAUCUGGAGAACAACACACGACAGGAUGAUAACCUUAUAGUGUCGUCUUAAAUAGCACCAGCUGACAAAGCUUUGAUAUGCCAUUUAUCGGAAUAGAUAGCUGUAAGAAAUGAAUUGAACAAUUUUUGAAAG